CCCCGAAGUGGGGGAUAACUAUCGGAAACGGUAGCUAAUACCGCAUGUGAUCCGUCAUUCGGUUGGCGGAUUAAAGCUCCGGCGCUUCGGGAUGGGCCUGCGGCCGAUUAGCUUGUUGGUAGGGUAAUGGCCUACCAAGGCGAUGAUCGGUAGCUGGUCUGAGAGGAUGGUCAGCCACACUGGCACUGAGACACGGGCCAGACUCCUACGGGAGGCAGCAGUAAGGAAUAUUGCGCAAUGGGGGAAACCCUGACGCAGCAACGCCGCGUGGGCGAAGAAGGUCUUCGGAUCGUAAAGCCCUUUUCUGGGGGACGAGAAAGGACGGUACCCCAGGAAUAAGUCUCGGCUAACUACGUGCCAGCAGCCGCGGUAAAACGUAGGAGGCUAGCGUUAUCCGGAUUUACUGGGCGUAAAGGGCGUCUAGGCGGUGUCUUAAGUUGGGCGUUAAAUCUCUCGGCUCAACCGGGUGGGGCCGUCCAAUACUGGGACACUUGAGGGCAGGAGAGGAAAGUGGAAUUCCCGGUGUAGUGGUGGAAUACUCAGAUAUCGGGAGGAACACCAGUGGCGAAGGCGGCUUUCUGGCCUGCACCUGACGCUGAAGCGCGAAAGCGUGGGGAGCGAACGGGAUUAGAUACCCCGGUAGUCCACGCCGUAAACGAUGGAUACUAGGUGUUGGUGGUUAUUGACCCCAUCAGUGCCGGAGCUAACGCGUUAAGU
rnacentral:rRNA from 1 species